rnacentral:lncRNA from 1 species
UUAAGAGCAGCUCCAUCAGUCUCAUACGAUGUGGGUAUGUGAAAUAUAGUACCAUAGUGACUUGGCUUUGGGGUGGUUUUUGCUCCGUCCCCCUUCUUGACAAAAGUACCUCGCCCGAAGCUAUCCGACAACAACAUUAAUCAAUUUAUAAUAUAUUAAUUAUAAAUUUAAAUUUUAACUAAUAAAAGAAAAAAAAUGAACCAAUCAUGUCAUGCUAUAUUUCAAAAACCCACUGUUAUCCGUUUCUGCUUUUCUCUCUUCUUCUCUUCUAUUUUAUAUUUUUAUAUUUUAAUGACAGAAACCUAGCCUCAUACCAAUUGAUAGAGCUGC